AAGGAAAAAAAGAAAAAAGAAAAAAGAAAAAAAGCAAACUCCACUUCAGUCACUUCUGACUGCAGAUUUCUCAUUGUCUUUUUUGUCUAUUUUGUCUUUUUUAGCAGCUCUUAAGUUUU
rnacentral:ribozyme from 12 species